rnacentral:lncRNA from 1 species
UAGUCCUGUCUCCCCUUGUCUUGUAAAUUUAAUUUAGUUUGUUUUUAAUGGGUCAUUUUGAAUUAAAAGAUCUUUUAGUUUGAACGUCACUUUUUGAGUUGUGUGUUUUGGAUCCUAUGUUUUUUUGUGCUGUGGUUUGUAACACAGUGGGCUUUGGGGCAAAGUUUGCUAGCUCUGCUCCACUUAGUGUGUACGGUAUCGGACAAAUGUGAUGACAUUCUGUGCGCUCAGCGUUCCGUACCUUCCCCCUCAUCCUGUGCCGGGAAAACUGUCUACACAAAGAGGAAAAUACAGACGCGUCUCGGUGCGCACCGGACCAAAAUUGACCGCGGAACGUGUUCAGUGCGUCAGGGCUGGUCCUCUGCCGCUGUAUCCGGGACAAGCUGAGAGAAAUACACACACUGUCCGUGUACGGCUGUGUGCCUCCGCUCAGAAGAUAAAACAGAAGCGGAGACUCAUUCAUCAACCCGAGGAGAGGACAUGGACAUACUGUAGCCAGCGCUGA